GACGUAGGGCGCAAGCGUUUGUCCGGAUUUAUUGGGCGUAAAGAGCGUGUAGGCGGCCUGGAAGGUCAGCUGUGAAAACUCGAGGCUCAACCUCGAGACGUCGGUUGAAACCACCUGGCUAGAGUCCGGAAGAGGAGAAUGGAAUUCCCGGUGUAGCGGUGAAAUGCGCAGAUAUCGGGAAGAACACCCGUGGCGAAGGCGGUUCUCUGGGACGGUACUGACGCUGAGACGCGAAAGCGUGGGGAGCGAACAGG
rnacentral:rRNA from 1 species